CAACCAUGACCUGGAUGACUGAGAACCUCCAUAAAUAUUUUUAUCUCAAAACUGUCCCCCGCUUUGUUCACCUCUCAGCCCCACCCCCGCUCUUAUUUUGUGCUCUUAAAAUUCACGGCCCUAUGUUUUUGUAAAGCCGUACAGGCAACUUGUCCCAUCAGAAAAACAGGUUUUAAAUAAAUUCCUUUGAAAUUACACAUGUUGGCAACGCAGAAGAAAAAACCGGCUUGCUCUCCCACACACUCUGCUUGCGAACCCCUCAGGCAUGUUGAAGUACUUUU